AUUAGUUGUUUCAUUUUUUUGCGGACCUGCGUGCUAACGUCAUUGUAUGCUUUGUUACGGGGUGUUCUCACCAUCAUGGAAGCCAUCGCAUCAGCGUUCUUUUUUCUUUAAAGGUACAUCCCACCCUUCCUGCAAAUCACUGUCCAAAGCCACACCUCCUCGAAAACACAUGAAUGUGCACAAACCAGAAGCGAGAUGACCAGAGACGUUAUUGAAUUACAUCAUGUGUCAUUCACCGAAUGUUGUAAUGGAAAGGUGCAAUAUUUGUUGCUGUGAGGUGCCUCUGCAUAGGAUUGAAGAGCAUGUUAAUCUAUGCAGCAACAGAUCAUCUGCUCAAGACGAUGCAAAAGGAGGGUAAUAUGAAAGAAAUAGACAGCCUCUGUACAUUAAAUUGUAUUGCUUUUAUUAAUGAUCUGUUUUGUUUCAUAGGACAGCAAGAAAUGAUCCACGUCCAGCUUUAAAAAUUCGUGUGGCUUUGUUGCUUGACCACAGUAUAGCGACAUUUAAUAGCAAUUUUGGUAAAUUAGCAUCAUAUGAUAUUCACAAUAUAUUUUAUUUGUAAGACUGUGAGAUGCUUUAUUAACAUGCAUUAUAAUUUUUCAGCCACAGAAAUGAAAAAAGAAUAGACAUUCCUUGCGACAUGCCUGAGGCAGACCUAAAAGGUCUGCUCUGGAAGACACUUCCUGGACUGAAUCAUAGAGACUUUGACAUCUGUAGAGUUGACCAAUUCAGAUGUGCGUUGGCUCUCACUUCAAAUACUUUAUGCCCAGUGUCAAUUCAUAAAAAGCUGGGUCGGUCAGCUCUUUACAUACAGCCAAAGGAGUCUUAAGACAAUGUAACACCUGCUGGUGUCAUCCCAGCUGAAGGAGCAGCUGCAGUUCCUUCCACCUCAACAGUUUCCUCUGCCUCUCAGGUUUUUCCAGCCUCCACAUCCAACAAUAUGUCUGCAUCCACCAGCACAGCAGCCACUGAUACUAGUGUUACAGGGGGAGUGGCUUUAUUGCAUCAGAUACAUGUCACUUUACUCACAGCUGAUUGGUCGAGUUUGGGUUUGCGAUCUCCAACUCAGAAUAAAACCUACUCUGGAGCAGGUUAGCCGUGAAGCAUAAGUUACCAUAGCAAUGAACCCCGCUAAAAACCAAACCACCUUCAUAAGCCCGAAAAACCAGAGUUUGCUCAAACUAAUCUUGAACUUACCUGGCAACCGAAACCGCCUUUGUGCAACAGGCCACAGGGAGUGGACAUGGCUAAUGAGCAGAAACCCUGGUCUGAGUGAGCUAUUGCCGGAGGGCUGAGGCGAGAGGCCCGAGAUGGAUCGCGUAGGAGCGCUAACCGCUCCGCCGCAAAUUACCUGCGAGAGAGAGUGCGUCCUGCCUCAAAUCAGCACAGCGUUCCUUCAGAGCCACCAUCACUCACACGAGAGGAGCGUCUGAGGAGCAGCUGUCACAGACCGCGAGAAUUUAUUUGUCCCGAUUCCUCCAUCAUUUACUCCUAAACCUGCCGUCUUUUCAUUCCGCCUGCGUUCCUGGAUGCGACCCUGGAGGCUGUGCUGAGCAACAGAAGGGAUUUAUUGAUGGAUAAUUCAGCGUGUGAAGCAUUUCCUGUGUGAUUCUCACUUCCUUCUGUCUUCUCACGAGGGGACAGACUUUAAUUACUGUUUGAGGCAUUGGGUGAAUAUAAAACUGCCACUUACAGACGUUCGGAUGAUGAGAGUUACCCAUUUAUUAACUAGUAGGUAUGACUCAGUGUGUGUGGUACUCACUAGGAGAGUGGGGACAGGAGGGUGUUUGACUGGGUGGCUCUUCGGUGUUAAGAGAGGGCAGGUCACAGGAUGACGCCCCCAUGCUCACGGAGCUCUGCUCCUCAGAUUGGGUGGUCCAGCUGCUCUCUGAUGGGGGAACGGUACUCCAGAAACUGGCUGAAGAGCAAAUGCUGUGCCUGGGACCUGUAAUAAAAAAGAAAUGUCUUUAGAGA